AGGGGAAAACUUUCGGCAUUCAACCCUAAACACCGCUCUCUCUCUUCUCUCUCUCUCUCUCUCUUCCAGAUCUACAUGAACAAGCAUUUCUCUGCCUUCAGAUCAACAUGAACAUACAUGUAGUCCUCGGUCGACAUUUCUAACUCAACUUUCAGGAUGUGAACUGAAGGCAUGGGAUGAGGAUGAGCGGGGAGGUGAUCAAAUAUUCAAACAGACACGUUUUUGUUGCAGUUGCUUAGAGAAUGUUCUGUGUAUGUCCUGGAGGCCUUGAUUUGGCAACUUAGAGGACUAGGGUUAUGUGGUUGAUACUAGAAAUCUAGGGUUAAACCUACAACAAGUCUAGGGAAUGGCACACCAACGGUCCACUUUCAAAUGUCUGGGUGUGGCUGAAUGGUUGCAGACCAUGCAUCUGGUUGGCUACCCAGAUAUCUUCACAACCAGGAUUUUCUUGACAAGAGUUUGAGAUAUUCCCCGUUACAGUUUUAGCUUAAACAUCUUAGAGGCUUAAACGCUAGACAGUCGGCGAUAGGAAUUAUGCCAUCCGGCCUUCCUUGAGUAUUGCGACCCUUUGAGGGAAGAAAUAUAGAUGGCUUCUCUCUAACGGUUUCUUCAACAAACAGAAGGAUACUAGCAAGUAGUGGGACUCGAGUUGGCGUGAAUGUGAGGUGUGUUAAAAAUUGACAAUGCAAAUGAGCUAUCAAAUUUUUGUUCCAGAAGAGUAUUUAGCUUACAGCCAUGUCAGAAGGCUUUACUGUAUUAAGUGUGCUAAAUGUGCUGAAGGAUGUGUCUGGCAGCAGUUCUUUGAAAACAAGCACUUCAAUAUAAGUUGUUCAAUUCCUUUAAUGUAAACAAAUGGUAGAAGUGUGCAUAAUAUUACAAUGUUAAUGUACGGUAUAAAUAAUUAUUUUGUUGUAGUAUAUAUCAAUUUUGAACAAAUUCAUGUAAGACUCAUUUUUUCUUCUAUUUAUACAUUAGUAAUGAAUAGAUUUUCUUGUCGUUUA